rnacentral:rRNA from 1 species
UACGUAGGUGGCAAGCGUUGUCCGGGUUUACUGGGUGUAAAGGGCGUGUAGGCGGGAAAGCAAGUCAGAUGUGAAAUCCCAUUGCUUAACUGUGGAGCUGCAUCUGAAACUGUUUUUCUUGAGUAUCGGAGAGGAAAGUGGAAGUCCAAGUGUCGCGAUGAAAUAUGUAGAGGUUUGGAGGAAAACCAGUGGCGAAGGCGGCUUUCUCGACGAUAUCUGAAGCUGAGGCGCGAAAGCGUGGGGAGCAAAUAGG